AAUGACUUGAUUUUUCUGUCUGAGUGAGUAGAAGCGGGGAUCAUAUUAACUAGGGAUGAGAUGAUGAAAGAUGGCAUCUACAACAGUGACUGAAAUAAUGAUGAUGGUCUGUUUUGAUUUCAGCCAAAGGCCCUCCAUCUCCUCCUGACAACGCCCCUGAGGUCUCUGAGAAACUGAAUCCAGCCAACUGAUUGACAAACGCACUCACUGAGUUUCCUCAUAUGGGAUGAAGAAAGUAAACUCUUUGACAUGUGCCAUGUUAAAUAACAUUACAUAAGUGAAGUAUUAGUCAUGAUUUAUGUGGUUGAUAUGUAAGUGUUAGUUUUUUUGACAGAUGCAAUAAGCACCCAGGUGUCCAUAGCCAACAACGUUUUUGCACCCAGGGUUGAAAGGCUAUUGUGGCUGUUUACAUUACAGUGUUCUGGGCAUUCGAGCAACAUCCAAAUAUGACAUUAACAUGAAUGGGUCUAAUCAGCUUUUCUGGUAAGAUUUAUGUUGGAUAAUGUUAUCUUCUGCCUUCUGCUUAGAGCUGGUAAAUUUACAGCUCACAGCAUCUUAAUACGAUACAGUCUCUGGCUUUUGUUUGAUAUCUAGUGUCAGCAAAAAAAAUAUUGUUGCACAUAUCCAAAUCGUUAGCUCGCAGGGCUAACUUGGCUUGUUUACUAUGUUACGUGAGCAUAGAUGUCACCCUAAAUGCCCGCCAGACACUGUUCAAUCUCUCAAACUUUACAUGAAAAAACAGCAAGAAGUAGAACAUUCAUGUUGAAAAGCCAAAUCUGACUUAAAUGACUUAAUUCUGAGUCGGAUACAAUCUUAAGUCAGUUAAAGCUACACUUACCUUCCUGGAAAUUUUACACUUUUCUUUGUUUAGGUUAAAAUGCUAUCCAUCCUAUAAGCUGAUGGCUCACUAAAAUGUAAGUGAAUUCCACCAGAGAUAAAAACUCAUAAUUACAGCAUUCUCAUAUGGUUCUAAGAAAACUCCAGCCAAUCAUUGCAUUCGGUCCGAAUAGUAGGUGAUACCAGAUAGAAGGUGAGGGUGAUUGGCCGUUACAUGAAGUUGCCUAUCAAGCCAGUUGUCACUGCAGUUUAUGCUGAGCAGAUACAAUGUAGAUAUGUGACUGGGGCAAGUUGUAGAGUAUCUGCUCUUUGUUUGGGCAAGUGAAGGAUUUAAAGGCAGCUUUAAGGUAUGUUUGGUCAGGUUUAGAGAUUGAUAUCAGAGGGCUCAGUGGAUUAUGUUUUGAUAACCACAAAUGAAUAACAAAACCAAAUAUAAGAUUCUUUUUUGUACUGAUGUUUUGCUUUUCAAUAAAGUUUGGCUCUUAUUUCAAAAA